CUUAUUUAAAGAUAAACUCACAACCGUUGCGAAAACCAAACCCAUUACUACUUGCUUUGGUGUUUUGUUGGACGCCCACCACUUCCCCAAAUGACUUGGCCUAUGGAGCUCCAAAACCUUUUAGGCUAUUCGAGCUCCAAAGGCAAAGGAAAAAAACCCAGAAAACCAACAGAGAAACCCAAACAAAGUGGUGUGAAGCCUAAGGCAGUGAAGAAGAACUCCACGCUCACCAUUCAAUCUGAUCUUUCUUACUCAUCAGACCCUCCGAAGAAGAAAAAAUGAACUUGGCAUCUCCUCCUUGUCACCUUCUCACCCACAAACCCAUCAUUCAUCCUAUUUCUCUCUCUCUCUCUCUUUGCACCUCAACAGGGAACAUGGCCGCGGCUCUUUCUGUACUGAAGGACAUCACAAGGAAAUUUAAGCUCAGUGGUGCUUCAUUGGGCUCAUCUUCCUAUUACAAGUUCUUCACGGGUGACGAAUAAAAGACCGAUGACGCUGUAUCAUACUAUCUUUGGUGUGCCUUUUUUUUUUUUUUUUUGUUCAAGACUUUCAUAUUAUGGUGUGUUUGAUUCUACGUUCUUACAGUGGUACUUCAGUUAUGUGAAAAAGACUUUUGAUAUGAUAUUCAUAAUAAAAUGGUUGUGGCCUGUGGGACCGCAACCUAAUUAGUUAA